ACUUCUUUCUUUUCUCUUUCUUCCCUCAGCAUCUCGCACAGUGUAUGGUAGGUGUUUAAUGAACACUGGUAAUCAACAAUUGUUGUUUGUUCUCAAAGAGGACCAGCUGAUUGAUUCACUAAACAUGAAAUCCAAAACUUGCUGUCUUCACCCACUCUCUGACUCUCUAUGAAUGACUAAAUAGUUACAAAGCUGGGUUCUUCUAGAAGCACUGGAAUCCUUGUUGAGGACUCCUUCCCUUGCCAUCAGCCAGCUCUGACCUGAUGAACCCAAGACCUCCGAGAUCAGCUCCAAGCCUGGACCUGGCCAUCUUGAGACUGGUGCCCCAGUCAGCUUGGAUCAAGCCAAGAAACACUGACACAGAAGAAGCAGCCUAAAACCCAAGCUCUAGCUUGCCUUGGUAGUACAUACUUUAAUACCCAUGUUCUUUGUAAAUCGGCCAUUUUUGUUGGAGUGGGAAGAAGGGUGGUCCCAGUUCCUACCCCUCAUGGGACAGCUAUCUGGCAUAAGGAAGUCUGAGGUAAAAGAAAGCUAGCGGAGAGUCAUUUCCUUUUUCAAGAUUCAAUGAAUCAUUGGCUCUUCCUAUUCAGUCACCAAUAAAGUGAUGGUUUUGUCAUCCUAAAGCACCUUUCAGCACUGAGUCAUCAAAAGCAGCCUCAUGCUUCAUCAUCUCCAAAGCACCCAAGCACUGAGCGUCAGGAGGGCCAGUUUUGCUCAUCCCCUGUUUAAUCUCUGGUUGUACUUUAUCAAGAGCAGGGCAAACUAGUGAUUUCAGCCACCUAGGAGUUCACUGGUCUCCUCAGGAAAAUCUCUCUGUAUAAUAAUAAUAGCUCACAUCCA